CCCUGGUGGCUCAGAUGGCAAAGAAUCUACCUGCAAUGUGGUAGACCCAGGUUCGAUCCCUGGAUCAGGGA
rnacentral:tRNA from 1 species